GGGGGUGUAGCUCAGUUGGCUAGAGCACCUGCCUUGCACGCAGGGGGUCAUCGGUUCGAAUCCGUUCACCUCCACCA
rnacentral:tRNA from 1 species